AUUUAAAAUGUCACUGACCUGGUCAUAAAAUAUCAAGAACAAGUAAGCCUUGAAACACUGAGACCAUUAGGAAACAGGGCAGCAGCCCCCCGAGUCACCUGUGUAAUGGAGGAUCAGGUGUACUUAAGAGACUGCUUGUGCUGAGGAAUCGAUCUUUUGGCAUUGCGAGACCAAGACUGGUACUUACGAACUUGUAGACGGUCUUCAUGGCCGGAUUGGCUUUUGUUUUUACGGUAUUCAGAAUUGCUCCGCUUCCUUUCUAUAAUAAAAGACGUCAAUCAUUGGCAGAGCCGAAGGUAGCAAAGGCCAACACCAAUGAAGACCUUUUCACUUUAGUCAAGGCAGGCAACACUGCAGGAGCGUGGGAGGUGAGUAAAGAAGCAGGCCCAGGAGGCCCUGGACCCGUGGCAGCGACAGCUGGGACUGUGGCAGAACCGCUCGGGGUAGGGGUGGGGGAGGGGUGUGUGUGCAAAUGUGCCUGUGGGAAUGUGUCUGGGUGGUAUGUAGGGAAUGAGGAGUGCGACAAGUAACUGAGGGAGGCUCCAAGUUCAGAGCUCCGCCUGCUGUCCCAGGCUGUCUGAGGCAAGGGUUUUCUCAUAGUCACUGGUGGCUUUUCACGAAUUGAGUUACCACGGACAAUGGUCAGGGAGUUUCAAAACCACUGACUCUCUAGCUAGCACCAAGGUGGGGCAGAAAACAGGUCCUGAUCAAACAGGAGUAUCUGGAAACACACUGCCCCCACCCUGGGCAACUUCCUUUCCUCACCUGGGUUUUCUGUGUUGUUUUAAAACACUCUCUGGUAGGCUGCCUUCUUAUACAUCUAAAUCUUGAGAAUAUGAAAGACUGAGUGGCGUCAAUGUCAGCCAGAGCUGUGGUGAAAAUCCUCCGCACCAGUGUCUUGCUCAUGCUCUUUAGGAAGUGGGGAGGAAGGUGCAGAGCAACGAUUUUCCACCACCCAAGAGAGGAAGUGAAGGCAGCCGAAGCCAUCUUUCUGGGGCUGUCUGCAAGCCUGUUCUUCAGUCUCAUCCUUGAGGGUGUGUGGUAAGGACUCAUCUGUCAGGUUCUGAGGCCUGGAGCCAAGGGAGGCCUGAUCACAGCCUUGGAAGAUUUCUGGCCUGGGAAGUGGGGCUCACCAGAGCAGGCGGUGUAUCUUGGAGACACAGAAGCAACUCAACGUGGUGGAGCGUGUAACCUGGAGUCAGAAGACCUGAAAUGAGCUAGCCAUGUGACUGCAGCCACACUACUAAGUCUUGGAAGGACUUUGGAUGGCACUCAGGAGAUGGGCUGAAGGCUGUGCUGGGAGCACUAUGGUGGCUGGAUUUCUUGUCGUUUUCCAAUGAGGCUCGCCCAUGAAAUGAUGGACAAUCUGGAUCUCAGGGGAUGGCAGACUCUCCCAACACAGUGGCUAGCAGGUAUCUCAUCUUUGGGAAUUUUGAAUCACUAUGAUUAGUCCUCUUUCCUGAUGAUGAUGAUAAUGUUAGCAGCGACCAUUUCUUGAGAGCCUACUCUGCACAAACAAUAUUUAUUCUAGCUAUCAACAGUUGUGCUGAAUAGUUUAGGGGGUGUGUACUGGUAUCUGCUACUUACUCUGAAAUGCAUACAAAAUAAGAUCCACUGACAGAUAUGCAAUAAAACAAGCACAGUACAAUGUCCACAGCACUAUCUAGAUGAUAGGUAGGUCUAAUAAGAUCUUUUUGCACUGUAAGAUUCUUUUCUAUAUGUUUGAACAUCUUUAUAAUAAAAUGUUUGGUAGAAAACUCACAAGGGGACAUUAAGUGCCAGAACUUCAGUGGAGCAGACUGGCGACAAGAUGCAUUAUUCCACAAGUUAUUUGUCUUGAGUUAUUUGUUUUUCACAAGUUAUUUGCCAACCAUGACAUCAUGUUAAUUCAAUUUAUUGCUAUAGGAAGAUUUUAAAGGGAGUUAUAAAUGAGAAAAAAAUGAUUUCUUGUGCAUGUACUAUGAGCCAGGUCUGGAGUAAGCACAGGGACAACAAGGAUUAAGCCAGUCAAAGCCUCCCUGCUCCCUGACUGUGAAGCUCAAACAAGAACACAUGCAGAAUAUGUGGCAAGCAUGGAAGGGCGUCUACAGACCUGGGAGGAGAGUUCUGAGAGAUCAAGUGACUUGCCCAAGUCCAUGUAACAAGCAGGUGGGGUGGAGUCUGAGUCUAGAAGUUGGGAUUCUUUCCCCUGUCACCUGCCAUCUUGGAAAAACCCUUAUUUGCUCUCCACGAGAAGAGCUACAAGGAAAACUGGCAUCCCAAAGCCAUUUCCUUUUCAAUCCUAUCAUCAGAGCCAGUCCUAGAACAUCAGCAAAGCAACUGCUGCAGUGUUAACCCCUGUCACUUGGGAAACCCGUUAGUUUUCAAGGUGGCUUGUUAAUGGCUGUAUCACAUGACCCAUGCAAAGCCCCACAGGACUCUGGAAUUCCUGCCAUUUCAGCUCACGUGACCAGGCCUGGCGCUUAGGGGCUGGAGUGACAGGCUGUUUGCCCAGCCUUCCUUUCCCUCUGGCCCAUAGCUGGUGGGAUGUGUAAGGGCUGGUGAGCUUGGCAGGAAGAAAAGAGAAGCUGACCAAAGAGAGUAUUUGGACUGGACAGUAACAUGCCUUUUGCUGCCCACUUGGCUUGUUUACCCCUCUCAGAAAAUGAAGGCCCUUUGUCUAUAACCUCCAUGAGACCAGAUAAUUCUUCCUCUCCUAUGGUGGCCCUUCAGGAGUUUCUUGUUUCCAGAGAAGCUCCUGGCAGGUUACUGUGUGGUUCUAGCCAGGGACUGUCAAAGGACUUCCAAGAAGUCUUGCAAAAAGCUUUUAUUUGGUAAUGAUAAAUAGGAAGUCCAAUAUCGGUUGAAUUGGUUUUACUGGCAACAUAUUCUGGUAUCAGGGUUCUCCCCCAUCACCAAAUAUGAACUUGUAAUUUGAGGUACUUAUAAACAAAGUUGUUUGAGAAAUACAAGAUAAAAGAUCUUCUGCCAAUGGGAUGUUUUACUGUCUAAAGUUUCUUACCCAUGAGACCUUCAACUGGCCCUGAGGAACUGCCUUUCCUGGUUCCCAGACUGCCUCUCCUGCCUAGAUAGCAGCAGGUAUUCUUCCCUGGGUCCCUGCUUCCGGCUCUCUCCACCUGAUCCUGCUGUCUCACCACGAGGGGAGGCUUCCUGAAGCACCCCUCUGAUCACGCUGGCUAAGUCCUUCACUGCCUUUGUGACAAGCUCCAAGGCUCUUCUAAGCCAGCAUGCCAGUCCCCCAAGACCCCUCUGGCUACACUUCCUGACAACCCCACCUCCUCAAAGUAUUAAUCCCUGCCAACCAUCUGAAGCCUCCUGUGGGCAGUACCCCAGGCCGUUUCAACUCUCUUGCUUUUGCUCACACUGUUCCCUUUGGCUGGAAUUCCUUUUUCAUUGGGGCCAACUUCUACUCAUCUUGUAAGCCAAGCUCAGGUGUCAGGGCCUCCAGGAAGCCACGCUUGUUCCUGUGGCCAC